rnacentral:lncRNA from 10 species
UAGGUCUGCAUAUGUACGCACAUGGCUUUGUCUGAAGUGGGAAACACCGAUAUUAACAAAUUAAAAUACAAAUCAUCUGGCCGUGCAAUUCAACUCUUUGCUGCCUGAACCUCCAUCUUCCAGGGAGACAGAGCAGUGAGAAGCAACAAAGACAGGGCUGAAGAGGACGGGAGAGGCUCAGGACAGGCACCCUCAGCAACAGUGCACUCCAGCUCCACCUGCCACCACCACCACCGCCACUGGCAUCAGCUGCCACCAGCCACCACCAGCCGCCACCAACCACCACCAGCCGCCACCAGCCACCACCAGCCGUGACUGCUCUUGUGAGCUCCGCACGCAGCCCACCCAGGAGGCCUGUCCCAACAACGGUGAAAACACAGAGCCCAGAAGGCUGGCGAUUCCACCUUCCCCUCACAGUGGAAAAUCAAGGCCCCUGUCUCCAUGCUGAUUGAUGAGAAUGUUUCCACAGCCUGAUUAGGGGCUGUAGGCCUCUCUCUCCCCUGCUUGUUUUCUUUUCCUCUGACCUGCUCUGCCGGGGUUUUGUGAGGUUGUCUGUUUUAAUAAAGAAGCCCUUAUCUUCCUUAUAUUUACUCUUCAAUGGAAAUGAGCCUCAUCCUU